rnacentral:rRNA from 1 species
CCUACGGGGUGCAGCAGUGAGGAAUAUUGGUCAAUGGCCGGAAGGCUGAACCAGCCAAGCCGCGUGAAGGACGAAGGUGCCAAGCAUUGUAAACCUCUUUAGGCGGGGAGCAAUGCCGGGCACGCGUGCCCGGAGGGAGAGUACCCGCAGAAUAAGCAUCGGCUAACUCCGUGCCAGCAGCCGCGGUAAUACGGAGGAUGCGAGCGUUAUCCGGAUUUAUUGGGUUUAAAGGGUGCGUAGGCGGAUUUUUAAGUCAGCGGUAAAAUGUCCGGGCUCAACCCGGGCCGGCCGUUGAAACUGGGGAUCUUGAGUGGGCGAGAAGUAUGCGGAAUGCGUGGUGUAGCGGUGAAAUGCAUAGAUAUCACGCAGAACUCCGAUUGCGAAGGCAGCAUACCGGCGCCCGACUGACGCUGAGGCACGAAAGCGUGGGGAUCGAACAGGAUUAGAUACCCGGGUAGUC